rnacentral:sRNA from 1 species
GAUUCUAACAACAUCAAUUUCAUCCAAAGAAAUAGAGAAUGAAGAAUUAUACCUGAAGAUCCUUGGGGAGGUACUCGUGCUUCAUGGAGAGGUCCAUGGCACGCUUGAGACGCUGGUUACGAGCAUCAACGACCUCCCUGGGCAAUCUGUUCAUAGCCUCUUUGAUGUCCAUACUGUAAUACUGAUCGUACAGAUCAUCGUACCUCAGAC